UACGUAGGGUGCAAGCGUUGUCCGGAAUUAUUGGGCGUAAAGAGCUCGUAGGCGGCUUGUUGCGUCGGCUGUGAAAUCCCGAGGCUCAACCUCGGGUCUGCAGUCGAUACGAGCAAACUAGAGUGUUGCAGGGGAGACUGGAAUUCCUGGUGUAGCGGUGAAAUGCGCAGAUAUCAGGAGGAACACCGGUGGCGAAGGCGGGUCUCUGGGCAAUAACUGACGCUGAGGAGCGAAAGCGUGGGGAGCGAACAGG
rnacentral:rRNA from 1 species